rnacentral:rRNA from 1 species
GAUGAACGCUGGCGGCGUGCCUAAUACAUGCAAGUCGAGCGAACGGACGAGAAGCUUGCUUCUCUGAUGUUAGCGGCGGACGGGUGAGUAACACGUGGAUAACCUACCUAUAAGACUGGGAUAACUUCGGGAAACCGGAGCUAAUACCGGAUGAUAUUUUGAACCGCAUGGUUCAAAAGUGAAAGACGGUCUUGCUGUCACUUAUAGAUGGAUCCGCGCUGCAUUAGCUAGUUGGUAAGGUAACGGCUUACCAAGGCAACGAUGCAUAGCCGACCUGAGAGGGUGAUCGGCCACACUGGAACUGAGACACGGUCCAGACUCCUACGGGAGGCAGCAGUAGGGAAUCUUCCGCAAUGGGCGAGAGCCUGACGGAACAACGCCGCGUGAGUGAUGAAGGUCUUCGGAUCGUAAAACUCUGUUAUUAGGGAAGAACAUAUGUGUAAGUAACUGUGCACAUCUUGACGGUACCUAAUCAGAAAGCCACGGCUAACUACGUG